rnacentral:piRNA from 1 species
UGUAAUGUUGAAGUUGUUAUCGAUAGGGCA